ensembl:lncRNA
CUCUAAUGUAGGUAUACUAGACUGGUUCUCCCUCCUCCUCCUCUCUAAUGUAUCUAUACUAGACUUGUUCUCCCUCCUCCUCCUCUCUAAUGUAUCUAUACUAGACUGGUUUUCCCUCCUCCUCUCUAAUGUAUAUAUACUAGACUGGUUUUCCCUCCUCCUCCUCUAUUAUGUAGCCGUACUAGACUGGUUCUCCCUCCUCCUCCUCUCUAAUGUAGCUGUACUAGACUGGUUCUCCCUUCUCCUCCUCUCUAAUGUAGCUAUACUAGACUGGUUCUCCCUCCUCCUCCUCUCUAAUGUAUCUAUACUAUACUAGUUCUCCCUUCUCCUCCUCUCUAAUGUAUCUAUACUAGACUGGUUGUCCCUCCUCCUCCUCUCUAAUGUAUAUAUGCUUGACUGGUUCUCCCACCUCCUCCUCUCUAAUGUAGCUCUACUAGACUGGUUCUCCCUCCUCCUCUCUAAUGUAUCUAUACUAGACGGGUUUUCCCUCCUCCUCUCUAAUGUAGCUAUAGUAGACUGGUUCUCCCUCCUCCUCCUCUCUAAUGUGUCUAUACUAGACUGGUUUUCCCUCCUCCUCUCUAAUGUAUCUAUACUAGACUGGUUUUCCCUCCUCCUCCUCUAUUAUGUAGCUGUACUAGACUGGUUCUCCCUCCUCCUCCUCUCUAAUGUAGCUGUACUAGACUGGUUCUCCCUACUCCUCCUCUCUAAUGUAGCUAUACUAGACUGGUUCUCCCUCCUCCUCCUCUCUAAUGUAGCUAUACUAUACUGGUUCUCCGUCCUCCUCCUCUCUAAUGUAGCUAUACUAGACUGGUUCUCCAUCCUCCUCUCUAAUGGAGCUAUACUAGACUGCUUCUCUCUCCUCCUCUCUAAUAUAGCUGUACAUGACUGGUUCUCCAUCCUCCUCUCUAAUGUAUCUAUACUAUACUGGUUGUCCCUCCUCCUCCUCUCUAAUGUAUCUAUCAUAGACUGGUUCUCCC